rnacentral:rRNA from 1 species
GUAAGGAAUAUUGGUCAAUGGACGCAAGUCUGAACCAGCCAUGCCGCGUGGAGGAUGAAGGUCCUCUGGAUUGUAAACUUCUUUUAUCUGGGACGAAAAAAGGGAAUUCUUUCUCGUCUGACGGUACCAGAUGAAUAAGCACCGGCUAACUCCGUGCCAGCAGCCGCGGUAAUACGGAGGGUGCAAGCGUUAUCCGGAUUCACUGGGUUUAAAGGGUGCGUAGGCGGGUGUGUAAGUCCGUGGUGAAAUCUCCGAGCUUAACUCGGAAACUGCCAUGGGUACUGCAUGUCUUGAAUGUUGUGGAGGUGAGCGGAAUAUGUCAUGUAGCGGUGAAAUGCUUAGAUAUGACAUAGAACACCAAUUGCGAAGGCAGCUCACUACACAAAUAUUGACGCUGAGGCACGAAAGCGUGGGGAUCAAACAGGAUUAGAUACCCCAGUAGUCC